CUGCAUUACCCGUGCUGGUCUUGAACUCCUGGGCUCCAGCAAUCCUCCCACUUUGGCCUCCAAAAGUGCCAGGAUUACAAGCAUGAACCACUGCUCUUUUUAACAACUAGAUAUCAUGUGAACUAUCAGAGUGGGAUUACUGCUGGGAGAGCACCAAGCCGUUCAUGAGGGAUACACCCCGGCCCACCUCCAAUUUUGGAGGUCACAUUUCAAUGUUCAAGGGUUGCUUCAACUCAAGCACUGUGAUAUCAAGACAGUCGCUCUGAUAACCAAGAUGCUACUGGGUGACUAAUGAUGGGCAGCACCUACAGAGUGAAGACACCGGACAGAGAGAGGAUUCGCCUCCAGACGGGACAAGGAGGGACUGCAGGAGAUGUCAUUAAGCAACUCAGAACUGUAUGCAAUUUAAAAUGUCUAAAUGGUUUAUUUCUGGAAUUUCCCAUUUAAUAUUUUGGGACUGCAGGUAACUGAAACUGCAUGCAAAAAGAGACUGGGUAAGGGAGGACUACUGCAAAUCCUUAUUUAUCUCGAUUGCAAAUGAGAUAAUUUCCUUAUUAUAUAGAAUGGAUAGCACCAAUCACAGAGUAUUGUGAAGAUUAAAUUGAGUAUGUAAAGUGCUUAGCACAGUGCCUGGCAUAUAGCAAGCACUCAAGGGAUAAUGAUUUAUUAGAUUGAUUUAAAAAAUAAUAUCCAGAGUAUGUUUACUUAUUUAGCCUGAUUUCCUAUAAUUUACUCAUCUACAACACUAAACAAUAAUUGGUAAUCAUAUGGUGAAGCUGAACCGUCAAGGAUUAAGUUUUGUUUAAAACUGUUUGAGUUGCCAGUAAGUCACAAAUGAGUUAAAUAAUCACACCCUAAGGUUGAUAAGAAUAGUCUGUUGUCCAAUCAUUCUGAAUCAAACAGAAUCUGUUUUGUCUUUUUAAAAAAAGUUUUACCCACUAGAGCAUUAUUUCAUUCCUAUAGAAAAUGCCUCGGCUGGGCGCGGUGGCUCACGCCUGUA
rnacentral:lncRNA from 10 species